GUUUUUUUUUUCAAAAGUAACAUGCAUAAACUCUUUUACAGUGUGUGUAUAAUUGCAAGAAGCAGAACAAUACUCAACAACUGUCUUGGCUUAAAAAAUGGAUGUAUUUGAAAAGUUUUUAAGCAUUUCCUCCAUGCACCUUAGACUACAAUGUGAAGUGCCAGUGCGGGCAACAUAUUUUUUUUAAUUUAUAGGAAGUGAUUAACUUUAGAACACAAGUUCACGUGGCAAAUGUAUAUAUAGCAUGUUUGUGGAUGUGUUGAGUCACAGGAUAAAAGACCAAUACACCCUGGUGCAUGCAUUUUGCUGAUGACAUUGUGUUGUGUAGCACCAGAAAAGAGGAAGUGAAAAUGAAGUUGGAAGAAUGGAGAAGGGCUUUGCAAGACAGAUGGUUGAACAUAAAUAAGAAGAAGACAGAAUAUAUGAAAUUUAAUGUUGAUCAGGAUUCAGAAGUUAGUCUGCAGAGAGAGCUAUUGAAAAUGGUAGACUAAGAGAGAGAAUUAGAUGCAGAGAUAACCCACAGAGUGAUGAGUGGAUUGAACAAUUGAAAGAAGGUAUCAGGAGUAGUAUGUCAUUGAAGAAUGAAGGCGAAGGCUGAAGGUAAUUUUUUAAAGACAAUGAUAAGACCAGUAAUGCUGUAUGGAGCUGUGACAUGGUCAGUAAAGGAAUCGCAUUAAUAGAAGUUAGAUGUGGCAGAAAUGAGAAUGUUGACAGAACAAGACA